GUGGGGAAUAUUGGGCAAUGGGCGCAAGCCUGACCCAGCAACGCCGCGUGAAGGAAGAAGGCUUUCGGGUUGUAAACUUCUUUUGUCAGGGACGAAGCAAGUGACGGUACCUGACGAAUAAGCCACGGCUAACUACGUGCCAGCAGCCGCGGUAAUACGUAGGUGGCAAGCGUUAUCCGGAUUUACUGGGUGUAAAGGGCGUGUAGGCGGGAAAGCAAGUCAGAUGUGAAAACUGUGGGCUCAACCCAUAGCUUGCAUUUGAAACUGUUUUUCUUGAGUACUGGAGAGGCAGAUGGAAUUCCGUGUGUAGCGGUGAAAUGCGUAGAUAUACGGAGGAACACCAGUGGCGAAGGCGGCCUGCUGGACAUUAACUGACGCUGAGGCGCGAAAGCGUGGGGAGCAAACAGGAUUAGAAACCCGUGUAGUCC
rnacentral:rRNA from 1 species